rnacentral:rRNA from 1 species
CCUACGGGUGGCACCAGUGAGGAAUAUUGGACAAUGGAUGGAAAUCUGAUCCAGCCAUGCCGCGUGCAGGAAGACGGCCUUAUGGGUUGUAAACUGCUUUUAUACGGGAGCAAUAAGGGUUACGAGUAAUCCGAUGAGAGUACUGUAUGAAUAAGGAUCGGCUAACUCCGUGCCAGCAGCCGCGGUAAUACGGAGGAUCCGAGCGUUAUCCGGAAUUAUUGGGUUUAAAGGGUGCGUAGGCGGCCAUUUAAGUCAGCGGUGAAAUUUUGCAGCUUAACUGUAACAGUGCCGUUGAUACUGUUUGGCUAGGAUUUGGUUGUAGUGUGCGGAAUGUGUGGUGUAGCGGUGAAAUGCUUAGAUAUCACACAGAACACCGAUUGCGAAGGCAGCACACUAAGUCAUUAUUGACGCUGAGGCACGAAAGUGUGGGGAUCAAACAGGAUUAGAUACCCUAGUAGUC